AUUGAACGCUGGCGGCAGGCCUAACACAUGCAAGUCGAGCGGAUGAAGGGAGCUUGCUCCUGGAUUCAGCGGCGGACGGGUGAGUAAUGCCUAGGAAUCUGCCUGGUAGUGGGGGAUAACGUCCGGAAACGGGCGCUAAUACCGCAUACGUCCUGAGGGAGAAAGUGGGGGAUCUUCGGACCUCACGCCAUCAGAUGAGCCUAGGUCGGAUUAGCUGGUUGGUGGGGUAAAGGCCUACCAAGGCGACGAUCCGUAACUGGUCUGAGAGGAUGAUCAGUCACACUGGAGCUGAGACACGGUCCAGACUCCGACGGGAGGCAGCGGUGGGGAAUAUUGGACAAUGGGCGAAAGCCUGAUCCAGCCAUGCCGCGUGUGUGAAGAAGGUCUUCGGAUUGUAAAGCACUUUAAGUUGGGAGGAAGGGCAGUAAGUUAAUACCUUGCUGUUUGGACGUUACCAACAGAAUAAGCACCGGCUAACUUCGU
rnacentral:rRNA from 1 species